rnacentral:sRNA from 2 species
GCUGCGACCAAUGUUAUAUUGGAUGAGUUAGACAUUAUUCCCCUGAAAAGAGAGCUCUUUGCCUAUAAAAGUGGUGUAAUUGACAGAAUUACUGUCGAGACUGCUGCAGAGAUUUCAUUACUAUCUUGAAGGGAUCAAAAACUUAUUUAUUUAUUUUCAUUCAGAACCCUCUAAGAUCGAUUAUGAGUGGUUCUCAAUUACCUGCGACCCUCAUAUCAGGAUGUAAGAAGACACUACAUUCACAAUCAAGGGUCCCCCAGUCCAUCCCCCCUGUUACUGAACAAGAAUUCACCUCAGAAGCAGAGGGUGAUCAAACUGAAUACACAAUG